UACGGAGGGUGCAAGCGUUAAUCGGAAUUACUGGGCGUAAAGCGCACGUAGGUGGCUGCUUAAGUCGGAUGUGAAAGCCCUGGGCUCAACCUGGGAAUUGCAUUUGAUACUGAGCGGCUAGAGUACGAUAGAGGGAGGUAGAAUUCCACGUGUAGCGGUGAAAUGCGUAGAUAUGUGGAGGAAUACCGGUGGCGAAGGCGGCCUCCUGGAUUGAUACUGACACUGAGGUGCGAAAGCGUGGGGAGCAAACAGG
rnacentral:rRNA from 1 species